GGAGGGUUGGCCGAGCGGACGAAGGCGGCGGCCUUGAAAGCCGCUGUUCCGGCAACGGAACCGUGGGUUCGAAUCCUACACCCUCCGCCA
rnacentral:tRNA from 1 species